UCAAUUUUUUUUAAAAAAAAUAAAAAAGAAAAGCGAAAGGGAAAGUGAACGGAAAAAAGAAAGAAGCUCUUUCUGUCUUAUACCACUACUUCGUCACACACACAGACAAACUCGUUCCGUCGCUCUCUCUUUCUCUCUCGCGAUCUAGCUUCCAAACCCUACCACUUAACCUCUUCAACCCCCGUUUUCCUCCUUCAAGUUUGUAUAUCUCCCAAACCAAUCUCUACGAUCCCCAUCCGAAAUCCUAACCGUAGCUACUCGAACUCGUCAUCUGAGAGCACAGCGACGGCGAUGACGUGGGUUAGUUCAGCCGGUGGAAUCUUCUCUCUGUGGUCUGCUUCGUCGAACUUCAUGCCGCGCUAGCUUUCUAGAAAUGGCGACGUCGAACCCUUUCCAUUUGCGAGGUGACGACGCUGAGGUCUCCUCACGGCAAAUCGCCGCGGCGGCAGCAACGUCUCCACUCAAGAAGGGUUCAGCUGCGGCGGCUCAGCAGCAGCAGCAAACUCAGUUGGCUUCUAAGCCUGUUCCUCCUGCUCAGGCUGAUGGAAAGGAAAAAGCAAGAGGAUACAGUGAAGAGGGUGCAACAACAGGAUAAACAUUUUAAGCGUGUUAAGUAAGGUCUUCAGAUGAUCAUGGACCCUGGAAGGAGGCAGAUCAUCGACACCUACAUUGAUGGUGUAGCUGCAGGCCUGCAGCUGCUAGGAAGUGCGAUGUUGGGGAAGAAGAGGAGAGUUACGAGAUCGGUUGCAGUGAGGUGGACCACAAAGGCAGCAGUAGCAGCGGGACAUGGGGGUGUGGCAUCAUGCUCUGGUAUCCCAGCUACCAUUGCGACGGCCAGAGACGGUAGUCCUGGAUACCACGGUUUUGAUGAUAAGAAGAAAACAGAGAGGGUCGCUUGUUCAGGGGCACUGGGGCAGUAGUUCAGAGAUUCAAAUCUAGGAAGAUCAGGCUCUUUUCUCUACAACUUCUUCAGUCACCCAAAAAUGAACCAGACUCUGCACUGAACAUGGCCAUGAUGAGCUAAGAAAUGCUUCAAGUCAUGGAUUGCGGCACCAAUUCCAACGAGGUAUAAGCAGUGGUGGGUGUCGAUCUUCUUUGCAAGCACAUGGUGUAUUUGGAAGCAUAGAAACUGCAAAAUGUUUCAAAGCAAAAGUCUAAAUACAGAGGUCGUGAAAUAGGAGAUAAAGUAUUGGAGCCAAGCUUGGGUGUCAAAUAAAGAAGCGUGCAGGAGAGGAAAAUUUGAUAUCCAAUGAUAUAACGGAUUUGAGGAGUGGAUGAAAUAACUGCGAGAAAGAGAAGAUGGAAGAUAAUAAUAAAGAUAUCAAUAAUUGGCUCGCAGUGACAAGGUCCAGGAAUGGGAAGUGGUGGUACAGUGCUUUUAGCAAUGUCACUGCUUGGUUGGAGCUCAAGUGCUUGGAUUUCCCUAUGCCAUGUCUCAACUUGGAUGGUUUGUGUAUUCCUUUCAUCCAUCUCCCUCAUCAAUUAACUUUAUUUUUCUAAUUAAGAUUUUCUUUUU